rnacentral:sRNA from 1 species
UGUUUACGUUCGGCCCACGCGGGGUCUG